UCUACGGGGUGCAGCAGUGAGGAAUAUUGGUCAAUGGGCGCGAGCCUGAACCAGCCAAGUCGCGUGAGGGAAGACGGUCCUAUGGAUUGUAAACCUCUUUUGUCGGGGAGCAAAAGACGCCACGCGUGGCGUUCCGAGAGUACCCUACGACAAAGCAUCGGCUAACUCCGUGCCAGCAGCCGCGGUAAUACGGAGGAUGCGAGCGUUAUCCGGAUUUAUUGGGUUUAAAGGGUGCGCAGGCGGAAGAUCAAGUCAGCGGUAAAAUUGAGAGGCUCAACCUCUUCGAGCCGUUGAAACUGGUUUUCUUGAGUGAGUGAGAAGUAGGCGGAAUGUAUGGUGUAGCGGUGAAAUGCUUAGAGAUCAUACAGGACACCGAUUGCGAAGGCAGCUUACCAAACUAUAUCUGACGUUGAGGCACGAAAGCGUGGGUAGCAAACAGGAUUAGAUACCCGAGUAGUC
rnacentral:rRNA from 1 species